UUCUUAUUAGAUAAUGACUAUCACGUGUCAUGUUAUGAUUGGAUAUCAAUUACAUGAAAGAUGAAAUACAUUGUUGUUUUCAUUGAUCAAUCAGAACAUAACACGUCAUCAUAUCGUGACACAUGACAGUCAACAUUC
rfam:Glycine soja cultivar W05 scaffold623_1, whole genome shotgun sequence.